AUAUUUUUGUAUCGUCAGUGACCCUAUUAUUAUGAACCUAUUAUUUAUUAUUUUUUUUAAUUUUUGAGUGGCGAUAACAUCCUGUACGUGAGCUACAAAAAAAUGCACCUUUUCCUGUCUUUUCCCGUCAGCCUGCCCCACACACUUUCUCUACCCACUCUCUCUCUCUCUGUCUUUCGGACACUCACGCAUCCCGAGUGUGACUCAGCGCUGGUACAGCCUGUCCUAUCUAUGUAUCUAUCUGUCUCCCCUGCUGCAUCUGGUCCAUCCGAGCCGAGCACGCAUGCUUGCCUGUCCACCAGCUCUCUGUGCUGACACAGUGUGUCCUCCAGUGCCCUCGCCGCCUCCUAUCUCUGCUGACCCGAGGAUAAGCUCAUCGGACGACAAUGGCUCCACCAAAGACAGACGGUACAUUUUUUUUUCAAUCUCACUUUGUCAUUCUAUGCUUUGUAUUGGAUCAUUUUUCUACCCGUGUUUGAAAUAUUGAACCUUAAAUGAUUAAGAAAAACUAACAAUGUGCAUGCAUUUCUUCCACAGCAACAGCAGUAGACUGUAAAAAAAAAAAAAAAGCAUUAAUGUUACUUCAAAAUGUCAUUAAUGUUCAUGACACAUCCCAUGUCAUGUUUAUGACACGCUCAUGUCACUCUUAUGUAGAUACCUUCAAAAUAAAGUGUUCAAAAAGUGUUCAAAUGUUCAAAAAAAUGUUUGAAAUGUUGAACCUUAAAUGAUUAAGAAAAACUAACACUGUGCAUGCAUUUCUUCCACAGCAACAGCAGUAGACUGUAAAAAAAAAAAAAGAAAAAAGAAAAAAGAAGAAGCAACGGAUUACGUAAGUUGACAAAACCCUCAUCAGUUUAUUGUCUUUCAGCAAGAAAAAGGUCAGGAUCUCACAUUGCUUAGCUUCACCCGAGGAGUUUCCUCAAUCCCCCAGUGGAGUUAUAUUUUUCUAAGAGGCUUAAUCACCCUCCUUCCAUAAACCAACCUCUGAAAUACAUUUUACAGUUUCUCUGUACAGAGUAUCUAUUGUCCUCAAACUUGAAAAAUGUGCCAAGUUCAACAUGGAUUCCUUUCCUCUUAAGCUAUGUAGGCUGCAUGUCAUGAAAAACAUUCAUAGCUCGAGCAAUGCCACAGUUCAAGUAAUGGAGGCAGGAUACUUCCGGACCU